AGCACAUAAAGCCAUGAAGGCAGGCAAAUGCCGAGGCCAAGGCCUGGCCAAACUACCUUUUGCUUCCCGGGCUUGUCCACAGCUGGAGAGGCAGAGCCCGGGCUGUGUCUGUCACUCUCGGUGACAAGGCUGCACUGUGUGUGCCUGGGACUGCAAGGCCAUGGGAUCUCCCCUUUGUCCCUGCUUCAACUCCCAGCCCCUGGCCCUAAGCACAAGUGCGUCAGAGGCGUGUUUUCUUCUGAACCCAGCUGGGACAAGGUCAUCCGAGGGGAGGUUCCCUGUGCACAAGUUCAGUGCUCCUUGACCAGGAACUCGGCCAAAGGGCACAGGCUCACCCACCCCCUAGCUGCCUUCCCACCCAGACACAUGAGAAAAUGUCCCGUUAGCCCUUCCAGUCAUGCGAAUGAGGCCACGAUUGAUUCAAAGGCAGUGGGCAAGGAGGAGGCCGCAUGGAGCAGUCAGAAAGAACCAGCCCUUUGUGCUGCAGCAGGGUCCUUGGGGAUACUUUUGAGAGUGUUGUCAUCUAUCCAGAUGAACUGGGUGAUGCUCUUCUGCGCUGGACACUCAGCAUACGCUUCAAGCUCACUUGGUCUAACCUGGGACUUGGACCAACAUUCAACCUGGGGUGAAGCCUCACAACUGGUGGGCUGAGCUCCUGUUACUGCCCCGCUCACUGCCCCCUGUAGUAUGGCAAAUAAACUUGUUUUCUUUCUAUCCA